UGCGGGUGUGGCGGAAUGGUAGACGCGACAGACUCAAACUCUGUUUCCGCAAGGAGUGUCGGUUCGAGUCCGACCACCCGCACCA
rnacentral:tRNA from 1 species